UCCUACGGGGGGCAGCAGUGAGGAAUAUUGGUCAAUGGCCGCAGGGCUGAACCAGCCAAGUCGCGUGAGGGAUGACGGUCCUAUGGAUUGUAAACCUCUUUUGUCAGGGAGUAAAGGGCUCCACGUGUGGCGCUUUGCGAGUACCUGAAGAAAAAGCAUCGGCUAACUCCGUGCCAGCAGCCGCGGUAAUACGUAGGAGGCAAGCGUUGUCCGGAUUUAUUGGGCGUAAAGCGAGUGCAGGCGGUUCGAUAAGUC
rnacentral:rRNA from 1 species